CAGAAAUGAACAUCCCAGGGAGGUGUCACAAUGGCAGUGAUGUGGGAAAAGUGCUACAAGUGAACAGGAAUGGGUGCCCAUCAGCAAUGGCCAAGACCCUCUUUUGGAGACAAGGCUGGUGACUGCUGCAGAAUGUUCCUCUCACCCUUUGGAAUGAAAGGAAGAAUCAGUCCAAAGGAGGAGGACUUUCUACCAGGACGACAUUGAGACAGAAAGGAAACAGGUAGGAUUUCACAAUGAAGGAUUUCAGAAUGAGUAACCCAAGCCCACAGACACAGACAACUUUCUAUGAGAAGUGUGGCCAGAAGAUGG